UAGGGAAUAUUGCAAAAUGGGCGAAAGCCCGAUGCAGCAACGCCGCGUGGGCGAUGAAGGCCUUCGGGUCGUAAAGCCCUUUUUGAGGGGAUGAGGAAGGACAGUACCCUCAGAAUAAGCCUCGGCUAACUACGUGCCAGCAGCCGCGGUAAAACGUAGGAGGCGAGCGUUAUCCGGAUUUACUGGGCGUAAAGCGCGUGCAGGCGGAUUGAAGAGUUGGAUGUGAAAGCUCCCGGCUUAACUGGGAGAGGUCGUUCAAUACUUCCAGUCUUGAGUGCAGUAGAGGGAAGUGGAAUUCCGGGUGUAGUGGUUAAAUGCGUAGAUAUCCGGAGGAACACCAGUGGCGAAAGCGGCUUCCUGGACUGUAACUGACGCUCAGACGCGAAAGCUAGGGUAGCAAACG
rnacentral:rRNA from 1 species